rnacentral:rRNA from 1 species
GCCCUUCGGGGUGGAUUAGUGGCGAACGGGUGAGUAACACGUGGGCAAUCUGCCCUGCACUCUGGGACAAGCCCUGGAAACGGGGUCUAAUACCGGAUAUGACUGUCCACCGCAUGGUGGAUGGUGUAAAGCUCCGGCGGUGCAGGAUGAGCCCGCGGCCUAUCAGCUUGUUGGUGAGGUAGUGGCUCACCAAGGCGACGACGGGUAGCCGGCCUGAGAGGGCGACCGGCCACACUGGGACUGAGACACGGCCCAGACUCCUACGGGAGGCAGCAGUGGGGAAUAUUGCACAAUGGGCGAAAGCCUGAUGCAGCGACGCCGCGUGAGGGAUGACGGCCUUCGGGUUGUAAACCUCUUUCAGCAGGGAAGAAGCGAAAGUGACGGUACCUGCAGAAGAAGCGCCGGCUAACUACGUGCCAGCAGCCGCGGUAAUACGUAGGGCGCAAGCGUUGUCCGGAAUUAUUGGGCGUAAAGAGCUCGUAGGCGGCUUGUCACGUCGGUUGUGAAAGCCCGGGGCUUAACCCCGGGUCUGCAGUCGAUACGGGCAGGCUAGAGUUCGGUAGGGGAGAUCGGAAUUCCUGGUGUAGCGGUGAAAUGCGCAGAUAUCAGGAGGAACACCGGUGGCGAAGGCGGAUCUCUGGGCCGAUACUGACGCUGAGGAGCGAAAGCGUGGGGAGCGAACAGGAUUAGAUACCCUGGUAGUCCACGCCGUAAACGGUGGGCACUAGGUGUGGGCAACAUUCCACGUUGUCCGUGCCGCAGCUAACGCAUUAAGUGCCCCGCCUGGGGAGUACGGCCGCAAGGCUAAAACUCAAAGGAAAU